UUGACUGCGAGACAGACACGUCGAGCAGGUACGAAAGUAGGUCUUAGUGAUCCGGUGGUUCUGUAUGGAAGGGCCAUCGCUCAACGGAUAAAAGGUACUCCGGGGAUAACAGGCUGAUACCGCCCAAGAGUUCAUAUCGACGGCGGUGUUUGGCACCUCGAUGUCGGCUCAUCACAUCCUGGGGCUGAAGCCGGUCCCAAGGGUAUGGCUGUUCGCCAUUUAAAGUGGUACGCGAGCUGGGUUUAGAACGUCGUGAGACAGUUCGGUCCCUAUCUGCCGUGGACGUUUGAGAUUUGAGAGGGGCUGCUCCUAGUACGAGAGGACCGGAGUGGACGAACCUCUGGUGUUCCGGUUGUCACGCCAGUGGCAUUGCCGGGUAGCUAUGUUCGGAAAAGAUAACCGCUGAAAGCAUCUAAGCGGGAAACUUGCCUCAAGAUGAGAUCUCACUGGGAACUUGAUUCCCCUGAAGGGCCGUCGAAGACUACGACGUUGAUAGGCUGGGUGUGUAAGCGUUGUGAGGCGUUGAGCUAACCAGUACUAAUUGCCCGUGAGGCUUGACCAUAUAACACCCAAACA
rnacentral:rRNA from 1 species